rnacentral:lncRNA from 1 species
AUAGAUAGGUUGUGUGCUUAUGUGGCUUAUGUGUUACGUGCCUUACUUGCUUUCCUUAGGAUUUUUGCAUCUAGAUAUUAUGCUUAUGUGUUACGUGCUACGUGCUCUUAUGUGUUUAUUUGUUUUAAUUUAUGUCUACUUGUCUUAUUAUGUAUUAAAAAUGCAUGACGUCACCACACUAGUCCAACGCUAGUUGUGGUUUCUCCCUCCGCUUACUUGCUAGUCCAACGCUAGUAAGGAUUUUUAAAAAUGGGCUAGUCCAACGCUAGACCCUUUAGGCCGUCUUGCGUUAGAUUCAUCUUUGUGUGCUAUUCACUACAUUUUCAUGCAUAUUUUCAUUUUUAGGAUAUUUUCUCAUUUGUAUGAUAUUCCCUAUUAUAUUAUCCCAUAUUCUCUAUAGGUGUUAAUCAUGUCAUUUAGAAUUGCAUCUCAUUUAAGCUAGUUCAUUUGCUUGUUCAUGUUAGGAUAAUUAUUUUUCAAACAUGGAAAAUGGGUGAUUAUAACUCUAUAGUUUAAAUACCCUAUUAAUCCAUGUAUAAGAAAAUUAUGUCACGAAUUUUUUCGCCUCCCGUACCCUUUAUGUUGCAUUCCCUUUUUCUUUGAUCACUUAUAUAUAUGUAUAUAAUUUAAUUUCUUUUAUUUUAUUUUAUUUUUCAUCAUUUGCAUCCUCGUGACACCUUCAAGGAUUCAUUUUGGCCUUCGCAAUUAAUGCGAUUGAUCCAAUUAAACCCUUGAAUGAACAUUUUGUCCCUUUCGAUAUUUUUAGAUUUGCAUCCAUGUAGGAAACAUCCAAACGUGAUAAAAUUAAGGGUUAGAUUAGGAAAAUUUUGACUAAACCUCGCAACUAGCUUAGACUAGCUUGAAAGGGUGCCUUAGGUUUGAGUUAAUCGAACCUUUGCCUUCCCUUUCUUCAACCGUGACUCCCGAAUCCAUUUUCUCUUGUUUUCAAAGACCUGGAGUUGUCAAAAAGGGUUUUAUUUUAUUUUAUUUUACUUUAUUUUUUGGGUGACUUGGUACACCAAAAUUUCAUACCAAGUGGCGACUCCUAUUUUUUCUUAAAAACCCUUUUAGACUAAAUUUUGGACCCAAAUUGUCGCAUUCUUUAAAGUCCCAUUCUAGGUCCUUUUUCAUUUAUUUUAAAAUAAGAUUACAUAUUUUGUAAAUACCUAUUUUUAUACUUAUAUUUUUCCGUCACGAAAAAUGGGGCGCGACAUGAGAUAAAAAGAUAAUUGGGAAGAUAAAAAGGUGUAUGAAAAUUAUAAUGGUGAUGUAAACAAAUAUAUUUGGGCAAAUAAUCUCUUGUCCAAGCAAGUUAAUUUUUUUUUACUUGGCCUAUUUUUAAUUCCUUGGUUACAUACUUAAUAGGGUAUUACCCGAUAUGGAAAAGGCCAGAUGUGUUAGAAUAGUUGCCAGAUUCAUCGUGACAAAAAAAUUAAUUUGCAUUUAUGAGUUAGAUAUUUAGCUACAAUGUGACUUUUUUUUCAUUUAUAUUAUCGUCAUCAAAAUGUUCAGUAUAAAGAAUUUGAACAUGAUUAAAUUUGAAAUUAAUUUUGAGACGUUAAUGUCAACUUACAACUACUCAUGCCCUCGGUGCUUAAUAACUACCACAUAACUCAAUCAUGCUAAAAGAUUUUUGUUUUUAUAAACCGUAUUCUCAAUAUGUAAAAACUACAUAAAUCCAAAAUUAUCAUACUUUCUUUGUGAAAAUAUUAGAAUAAAAUCUUUUUUUGGGCGAUUUGGGUAUUUGUGUUGGGCACCCACUUAAUUUUUUUUUUUUGUAUAUGAAAAUAUAUUUGAGAAAGUUUAUGUAUCAAAAUCUAUUAAUUAAUAUAUUGGGUCAUAUUUGGGUCAUGAGUUUGAGAUGACCCAAUAUGACCCAAUCCAGAAUUAAUCCAAUUUAAAGUUGGGCGGGUUGGGUAUAACUCAUUUAAAUGAAAAUCCAAUAUUAACCCACCCAACCAACCCAAUUGCCAGUAGGGAUGGCAACGGGGCGGGGUUGGGGCGGGGGACCUCUCCCCUAUCCCCCGCCCCGCUGCCUACAAACUCCCCCUGCCCCCGCCCCAUCCUCCGUCCCCCGCUCCCCCGCCCCGUCCCGCUUCCCCCGCGAGUGCCCCCGUGGGGCUAAUAAAAAUUUGUUAUAUAAUUUUAUUAUGAUUAAAUUUUAAUAAAUAAUCAAGUACUAAAAUAUCAACACAUCAUCAAUUGUAAUUUUACAAUUAAAACUUAUAAAAACAAUCAAACAAAAAUUAUUUGAAUACAAUCCAACAUGAUGAAAUAAAUAUAACUAAAGUAGUCAAGUUUUCACUUUUCAUACAAAUACAAUCACUAAUUCAUUAUUGUGCUUGUGUUUUUUUUAAAAAAAAAUGUUAUUGUAUUAAGUGUAAUUAGGGAUUUAGUAUAAAUGUAUUAGUAAAUUUAGUAUAACCAAUUAAUAAUUUGUAUUAGUACACAUAUAUAAUUAUUAGUAUAAUUAAUAAUAUCAAUUAUAUCAUAUAUACUAAUAGACAUCAUAUAAUACAUAUAACUAAUAAUAUCAUUAUUAUAAGUUUGUAACUAAUUAAAUUAUAUAUUAUAUAUAAUUAUAUACCUAUAUAUAUUUUAUAUAUUGGUUUUUUUAAAGCGGGUGGCGGGGCGGGGGUACACUCCCCCCCCCCCCGCCCCAACCCCCUCCCCAUUAGCCCCCCGCGGGACGGGUGCCCGCAGUCACCCACACCCAUUGCCAUCCCUAAUUGCCAGGUAUAAGGUUAAGUAUUAGUACGAAGCUAUUUCAAUAUGGCUGUUCUCAGUUAUUUGCCAGUGUGAUGGACUUUGCUACAUACUGACAUAGUACCCCCCUAAACCAAGAUCUUCCAUUUAUUGGUAGACAGUGCUGCGUCUGGAAAUGUUACUAAGAAUAUUUACUGUGUUAACGUUUUAACCUAACAUGUAAUUUUGUCUGUAUAACUAUUUAAACUUUAAGUUUUGGCAUGCAAAAAACAGGUUGGAUCUCCAUUGCAUCAGAUAUUUCUCAAGUACUCCAACAUUAUUGGACAUGUAGAGAGAUUUUGUUCCUUUUUCGUUGAUGAAGGUAACGUCUCAUAUAAUGUAUGUGCUUAGAUUUAUUUGUAAUCACUAAGUCUGCUAAGACAUACGUGCAUGUUUUCAAAGACAGUCAACAAAGCUCCAAUUAUGUAUUUGAAGUAUGUCAAGAAUUUGAAAUAUGAGAUUGAGUAUCCUCAAUUUAGGAGUUACUGUUCCACUUAAGUCCCAUUGAAUGUUAUGAGUGAUGUAUAGCUCAAUUCUACGAUUAAAUCUUUGUCCAUUGUUGAAAAUUGGUAUUUUUGGAUCCUUUCAACUAAAGAUUGUAUCCUGUGUGACAUCUUUUUGCUAGACCUAACAGGGAUUCAAUCAUAUCUAGAUUAGUGCUUGGUAAAAGUGUUCUUUUUUUUUUUUGUAUCAAGUUUCAAAUGGUUUUCAAACUCAGAUUUUCUUCUUUGUGAAGUUAUAUGGAAAUUAGAUUUCAAUUUGCAUUCCUUUUUAGAAACAAACAACUGUGGGGGAAUCAACAACUCAUUCAUUUGGCUGUCAAACAACAUCUCCAUCCAUUACCGAAAUGUUAAAAAAUGUUUGAAAAUGUAAAACACAAGGCGGACGCAUCUUGGUCUUAAUAGCUCACCUAAAUCUUUGUUUAUGUUCCCUGUGGUGACUGGCUACAGUUCUAGGAAAUGGCUUAGAGUGAGCAUGGUGUGCAUGUUAGAUAUGAUAGUCAAACCUUAAUUGGAUUCUUAAUUAGUUGAAACAAGUUUGUUUGGCAUACCAAUUUUAUUAUUGAUUAUGAUACUUUUUGGUGCAAAAUUUGAUUCAGACUUUCAUCAAGUUCCUAUUUUAGACAAUAUCCAAAAGGAAAGCUCCUUUGGCAUGUUGGUCUAACAAGAGAUGAGAGGCACUGUUUGGAGAACGUGUAACUAGCUUGACCAUCUAAAUUACUACAUUAAGCUUGCAGUAAUGGUUAUUCAGUAGGGACAUAAUGUAAAUUUAAUGGACCCCUAAGUUAUAGCUGAGUGCACUGUUAACAAUGUGCAAGUCAACUUUAUUAAUCGUGGUAGAAUACGUGUUGCCACAGGAAUAAAAAGGUCAUUGCAGCGUGGCUGAUUGUCAUUCAUUUCAUAGAUCAUCCUUCAACUGUUGUUGUGUUGCUAAUCAGUUAUUAUUUUGCAGCGCCAGUGGAUUUUUCACAUAUGAUAUCAGAAUCAGCACUUUAUGAGAGUAUUGAGACCAAUGGGGUAUUUAUUGGAGGAGGUCAAUAUGGAAAAAUUUAUGUGCACACUGUAGAGGAUGGGGAUCCUACAGGGCUACCGCCAGGAAGCUAUGCUUUCAAGAUACAGCGUCAGGGCUAUUAUCAAUAUGUAAAGGUAAUAUGCUUUAUCCAUUUUCAUGAUAAGGCAAUAUAAAUUAGAUACUUAGUUUUCAGUUUCAUGAUAUUGAAUUUAUUUUAGUUUCAUUACAUUGAAUAGGCGGAGAUACAAUUUAGAUCAGAAUACAGACUUCUGUAUGCGGAUACAUUGCUCAAAUUGGUGGGCUUUGGACUCGAUGAUGCUUGCAGAAGAGCAUGCUUGGUCAUGGAGUAUAUCAGUGGUGGUCAACUGAAACACAAGUUACAUGGUAUCUUUCUUCAUUUGAUUUACUUUUGCUAUAUUUUGAUUGCAUAAAACCUUCACUUCGUGUUUUUCCCUUAUUGCUUGUUGCUAUCCCGGUAAAAUAUGUUUGUACAUAUCCAGAAAAAAAUGAAAUAUAUUUUGUAUUAAGACAAAUCUACGGUAAUUGUGUUGGACAUCCUUGUUUGUUGUGAAUGCUAAAUUGUUUGUCUCAUUUGAUCGUUUAAAAUUUAAAUAUCUAAAUUUGUUCCCUACUAAAUGCAAUCAUGAGGUUUCCUUUAUUUAGUUGAUUGAAAAAUUUAUUACAGAUGACACAACAUGAUUUGGCAUGUUACCGGUUUGAUGUUCUUAUUUUGUUUGUUCUUUUGCGUCUUGAAUUCACUAGAGGAAGAGUGGGAUAGAUAAGAAGACUUCUGUAGUUCCCAUAUUCCUUGGAUACACUUCCCAUUUAAUUACGCGCACGUUCAUUUUGUCCCAUUUACCUUUCUUUAUAUGUCAUGAUUUAAGAAGUCAAAAAUAUCUUACCCCACAUAUCCCUCAAAAACAAUAUUCACCGGAAAAAAUGUUCUUUUCCGGAGUGUGUGGUUUACCAAUGAUCUGACGAUGGAUUGCAGCGCGGUUGGCUUGAUGAUAACAGUAAGGUAGAUUCUUCUACUCGGGGAAACCUUAUAUAAUAUGGUUGAAGAUGAUGGGCUCAUGGUCUCUUUUGGGUCCUUUUAAGUACUCUUUUUUUUGCCGUAUGAUGAAGAUCGAAAUAAAUCUGAGAGUCUAUAAAAGUUCCAUAGAAAUAAAUGUAUCCGAAUUCUUCCACCAUAUGCAUAAGAAAAAUUGGUUUCUGCAUUUGAUUUUUUUUUCCAGGUGUUUUUAUAAUUGGUGGAAUUUAAAAGUCAUUCUGUUAUAUUUUUUUUGUUACAGCGUUUGCAUUACCAGAAUGUUGACAAAACGAAAAGCAACUUGAUUAGUUGAAUUUUAAUUUUUGUGGUUCUUCAAGAAGAAAUUGUUCAAUUAGACCAGCUUCUUGAUGCUUAUGUGCUAGCGAACUGUUGUCAUCUAGUGAGAAAACAAUAAUGUGAGCAGCAAUGAAAGAAAUGCAAGAAUAGUAUGCAUACUGACAUGAAAAUAAAACAGAGAACUACUAUCCUAUGUGAAAUUACACAGUACUUUUUGUCGUCAAGUCUAGACAGCUUUUCAACUGCGAGAAUCUUUACAGAAAAACUUUUAGUCCAUGCUUCAAGGCAAAUGACCUUUUCCUUUUUUUUUUACCCCGUAACGUAACUCAAUAACUGUUUUCUGGUGCAGAUUUGGAAUUACAGUCAAUCGUGAAAGUUUUGCAUGAUAUAGCCUAUGGACUACAUUUGGUCCAUUCACACUUUCCCGAUCCCAUUAUUCAUGGUGACCUCAAGCCAGAGAAUGUCUUAUUAAAAGUAAGAUUAACUCUUGUAAAAUUAGGGAUAUACAUUGACAUUUAAUUCAACAUUUUGACAUGAUGUUGAUAUUUUAUUCCAGGGUGAUAAGGCUUUGCUGUGCGACUUUGGCACGGUCACUUCUGUUGGUGAACGUCGUCGUCGAUCUGAUCCUGUCUACGAUGGUCAAUGCUGGGGUAGGCUAUCCAACUCUUACUUCAUUGCUUUCAUGAUAAUAUCUUGCAAUUUCUAUUUCUUGCACCACUCAAGUGUUUUAUAAAACUUUAGGGAUAAUAUCAGAAACCAUCCUUGAGUUUUCUCUUAAUAUCACUUGGCACCAUUGAAGUUUUAGAAAUAUCACUUACCUUCCCCUAGUAAUUGUAAAAAGAUUAUAUUAACCCUCACUUGACACAUUAUUCAUAUUUCUAUAUGGAAUCAAACAGCAUUAGAAUGUUAAUUGGUCUGGAUUUUAUCUUUUUUGCUUUUUUAUUUUUUAUUUUCCUUUGAAUAGAGUAUGCAAUUUUUGAAUUAAAUAUUUUAAGCUCAGAUGAUUUUAAAAAUGUUUUUACUUUCAUUAUUCGGACAAAAUUUUGCCAUAACUCUCUUUAGUUUGAUUGUUCUCAUGACCAACACGAUUAGUAUACAACGAUUUGUAUACAUAAACUUUGUUAAAGGAGUCAUAGUCUCUAUCUAUGUGGGCAUAUCUUUUCCUAUAUUUAUCCAAAACUCUACUAUUUUUUUCCCAGGGUUCGUCAAUUGCACAAAGACUGAGGUCUACUUCAUUGGGGUUUUGUUAUUUGAAAUGAUCACCAAUGUCUCAGUUAAAUAUGACGAGAAUGAUUCCCUUAUAGAAAGAGUUAAUAGGCUGAUCCCAGAUUCAAGUGCAUGUGAAGAUCAAGUUCAAAAAAGACUAUUGCAGCCUGGAUAUGAUAGACAGUUACUAGCACAACUAAUUGAAUUGGGGAAAAAAUGCAUUUAUAAAGAGGAAACAAAGCGUCUAGCUGCAUUUCAGGUUGCUGAUGUGUUGCAUAGCUUAAUGACUGAGAAUGAGUAGGCCCAUAGAUAUGUAAGAUCAAGAAAAACGUUUGAUUAAUUAUGUAGUUUUAAUUUGCUGUAUGUCACGAUAUCUAUCUAUGUUCAAGAAUGUCAGACUGUCUUUGUUUGGAUUUAACAAAUUUUUGAAAAACUAUUUUUGUCUUUCAUGAUUACGGUGAUUAACUCCCAAAACAACUCUAAAAAAAAUCCAAAAAAUGACACCUAAAAAAAAAAUUCUCACCUUUAUUCUUUUACAUGCUACCUAUCAACUGUGACGAUCCCAUCUCACCCUAGGGCGAACCCUAGAGUUUAGCGGAUCGCCAGUCUGACUCCUGUCAUGACUCACUCACUCACAUUAAUUCCAGAGAUAACAUUAAUUUUGAUUAACUACUAACAAUCCAUUCAAGCUUAUAUUUCCCCAACCAAAACAAGAGUUAUCUUAACUAUAUCAAUUAAUAUGUACAUUCCUUAAAAUAAUAAAUCUGCAUGACUUUACUUCAAAUACAAAAAAUUCACCAAUGUAGAACUCUAAGUUUCGAACUUAUACUACUGACUUCUCACACAUAGGGAUGGCAACGCGGCGAGUUUGGGGCGGGGGAUCCCUUCCCCAUCCUAGGCCCCAUUGCCAAAAAACUCCUCCUACCCCUACCCCGUCCCUCACCUCUGUUGCCCCUACCCUCCCCCCACGGCCCAUCCCGCUUUCUCCGCGGGUGAUAAUUUAGUUUUUUUUUCUAGAACCUUUUAUUCAAUAGAUCAAAACUAAAUUCAAAGAAUAAAAUACAAUACGAAACUGGAAAAAGUGAAAAAAAUGAAAAAUGAAAAAAUAAAAGUGUUAAAAUAAAACACCAAGAAAAUUAAGAAACUCAAUUGGAUUAUAUAAAUAAUAUUUGAAAAUACUCAUAGAAUACAUAACAUGCUUGUACCAAAUAUCAACUAGGAAAUUGAAUAGAAAUGGGAUAAAUGUUAUGUUUAGUUGCCAAUUAUUCUAAAUUUAUUAUUAUUAGAUUAUAUAAUAUUUUACAUUUAUUUAUAUUAAUAAAUUGAAGUGGGGGACGGGACGGGGGAUGAGAUGGGGGUAUCGUCCCCCGCUUCCCGCCCCAUUUUAAAUGGGGGGAGAAAAAUUCCCCCCGUCCCCGUCCUCACCCCGCCUCAUCCUCCUUCCUAUUACUCCUCUCAUGGGACGGGUACCCGUAUGCAGCCGUUUCUAUUGCCAUCCCCAUUCACACACUCGCCUUCCACUCAUGUAAGGAAAACAAAUAGAAGGGUUGAGCUGAUACUCAGUAACGUUCCAAGUGAACCCAUCCAUCCCACAAUAAUCAUAGCAAUCACAAAUCAAUUAUAAAGCAUGAUAUAUAUAUAUAUCCAUUAGCAAUAUAAAACAAAUAACACAUUCAAUGUGAAAGGAUACUGUACUGAUAUAGGCUGUAGAUGUGGCUUCCAUCCGAUUCAAUACAUAGCACUUACUCAUGUUUAGUGAUUUAGUGUCAUUUCCCAAGCAACAGUACCCAACAUUCUCGGUGAUCCAAUGUUCGGUGAUCACCUUGGUGGGUCAUAUUCAAGUAUACCAAUAAACGGUACACAAGGAAAAUCGGCCUACUCGAUCGAAUCCGUUGCUGGCUCGAAUAGGCCGACCGUCGUUAGGGUUUGGGCCCAAAACGGUCAUGCAUAGUUAACAGUAGCAAUUAAACAAUUGAUGGUUCCAAAAGUAAGUAGGUCAAGUGCGAUAAAGUACACACUAAUAUUUUAUCAGUGAAUAAUAAUAGCAAUUUAAGUUGAAAAUUCAAACAAUUAGACAUAGCAAUCCGUCAGUUCACCAAGCAACAAGCCACAACCAUACUUUAAUAUUUAAUCAUGAUACAUACAAGAAACACUCACUCAAUCAAGUGGACAGUCACGCCUUGACUUAGGGGUUUUCUUCUAACUCACCACUGACUCUUGAGACAUACCCAAGCUAUAAUUACUCGACCUUUCGACAAAACUAACUUUCUUUCCAAACUACUAAAUUAUCUUAGUCAAAAUAUGUGACAUAACACAUAACUCUAGUUUCAAAAGGGUUAUCAAACAUGGAGGUAAAAAUGUAUAGAGUUUUUGCAACCAAAUUCUUGAAAUAAGGUUGGAAAAUUUGCCCUCACUCUCGACUUCUUUUGACAAAAAAUUUUUCAUCUAGAUUAUUUCAAAAUUUCUCCAAAAACUAGUGAAUUUAUUCAUGCAUGUUUUGAUUGAAACAUUAAAAGUUCAAUAAACCAAUGUGUGCAAGCUUGCAGCCAAUAUUUUAGUAUUAAAUCUAGAAAGAAAAUGGUGAUUAUGGUGACUCUCGGGCUCCAAGCAGAAACUCCAGCAUUACCACUCCAAUUCCCUUAUAACUUUUGGAUUUAGCACAUCAAAAUUUGACAAUAACUUUUAACAAAGUUUCUCGGUUCAAGGCUAGAAGUUUCCUCCAAAAGAAAGUUACAUGCAAGUGGAUUUUUAACCCAAAACUCAACUUUUUUUCACGGUUCAGGCAUAAAUCAUGCAUUAUAUCAUGAAGUAAUUAUAAAGCAUGAAUCUCCUUGAAAAACUUUGACAAAAAUGGAAGCCACAAGCUGGAAAACAUAGUUUCACCCUAUGGUUCAGACAAGAAAAUUCCCAGCAAGUCUCUCUUCACUUUUCUCACCAAAACAGCACCUCACUUACUCACUUUCAAUCAUAAAUCACACAAUAACAGGCUUGUAACAUGAUAUAAGGUAUUAAUUAGGCAUCCCAGCAAAACUCGGCAAAGAAAUUUGCAUUUAAGAGCUCAAAACUCAAGCCUCUUCCAUGGUUCCAAAGCUCGAAAAAAUUUCAGCAAGAAGGUAGUUUGCCAAGUGAACCUUCCUCCAACGAAACUUUUUAUUUUUCACUCAAACCCAACAUGCUUGUAAAGAUUAGUGAGUUGUAAAGUAUAUCGAACAAAAAUCUGAAAUUUUGCAGGCAAAAGUCGUGGAAAAACUGGAAAAAUUCCCUCUCUCCCUCACUCGGCCAGUCAAGCAAGAUUUCCAACAGUUCCUUCAAACUUUUUCCAUCUAAGUUAUCAACUUCCUACUAAAUUCAAAGGGAAACGUACUGUAUAUAUCAUGCAAAGCAAGAAUAAGACAUAUAUCAUACAUUCCUAGAAAAACCUUUUCCAAAAUUUUGAAUGAAAAGCUGUGGAACAAGAUUGUCCGUAUCAUGCUUAACACACGGCUUCAACCUGGAAAUUUCAGCAGCUACCAGCUCACAUACAUUCUAUAUUUUCACCAAGAUUCAUAUAUCAAAAGGGCUUCAAGAUUUUCUAGCAACUUGCAGCAAAACAAGAGCCACAAUUUGGAAAAAAAAAAGAGUCACCUCUAGUUCGGUCCAAACGGGGAAAUUUCCGGCAAUGAAACAAGUUUCUACUACCAAUUUCUACUUCAAUCCAACCUCAAACCAAACAUGCAUCCAAAUCCCUCUAAAGUAUAUAGAAAGGUUGAAGUUUCUAGCCAUUUUACCUUAUUUUUUUGCUACAACUCAAGCUAGAAGUUAGCUCACCUUCCUACUUUCUCCUCGGCUGGAAAUGGAGGCAAGACAAAGUGUUUCUCUCAGUUGCAAAUGGAGACAAGGCACUAUGGUUUCUCUCGGCUGAAGUGGAAUAAGACAAGGAGAUUCUCUCAACUCUUUCCCUUUAGUUUCUCUCGGUUAGAAAUAGAGCAAGACAUAAAGUUUCUCUCUAUUCUUCUCUCGGUUGGAAAUGGAGCAAGACUAAAGAAAAUUUGACCAAAGAGUUCUUCUUUUUUUUGUCAUGCAAUGAUCUACACUUGGCACUAACAUUUCACCAUUUGUUAAGCAUGCAUAAGUCAAGAACUGAUCUAACAAUUACCCCCACACUUUUGUGUUAUUGUUUAUACCCCUACUAUUUCUUAUCCUAACUAGUGUUAAUUUUUAUAAGGGUUGAUCCUACACUAAUUGAGAGUAUAUUCAAAUUGUUUAAACAGAAGAAAUUAAAAGAGAGGAUAAAUUUGAAAAAACUUAAAAAAUUAUACCAAUAUAAUUAAAAUUUAAGAUUUAUUUAACAAUAGUUCAAUGUAUGACAAAAUAUGUAGAUCAUUCAAGAAUUGCGUUUUUGUGAAAUAUGGAUCUUGAAAUAAUAAUAGAAAUUUAUAUUAGAAAUUGAAUGAUAUAUGGAUAGAAAUAAAUGUAAUUGCAUGUAUUAUUUGAUUUUAAAAUGAAAUACUUACAAAUAUUAUACAUUCGAUUUGAUAAUCUUGUACAAAGGUGCGAACAUUUUUUACAUCAAUUAACUUUUAAUAUGAAAAUUAAUAUUGGUGGUUUAACUAAUUCUAUUGAAUUUUGUAGAGUUCGUAAUACAAAAAAAAUGUUCAGUAAGACUUGUAUUUCUUGGAAAUGAACUUGUGAACCUUUUUAAAAUAUUUCGGUGGGAUCACUAUAGUGUAAGAUUCAUUCUGUGAUCAGUUGUUUUCUUCUUUGUAAUUUUACAAGUUUGGAAUUAAGAUACCAUUGAAAUCAAUGAUAUAACCAAUGGGGGCCACAACCACCCCUCUCAAGUUUUAAAAAUUUUAAUUUAUAUUAUGUAAAUAUUUGUGUAAAAUAAAGUUGGUCCUCCUAAUUUUUUUACAAUUUUAGUUUAUAUUAUGAGAACAUAUGUGUGUGUGUGUAUAUGCGUGCGUGUGUGUAUGAAUUAACUACAUUUGAAUUAUUUUUUCUCAAAAAAGUUAUUUAUUUUUUACAUUCCUUUAUAAUUAAAGUUAAUAUUUGGUAUUUUUAGAUGUCAUAUAUUUAAAUAGAUGAAAAUUAUUUUAAAAUAAAAUACUUACAAACAUGAUGCAUUCGGUUUGAUAAUUUUGUACAAAGAUGCAAAGAUUUUUUUACAUCAAUCAACUUUUAGUAUGAAAAUCAAUAUUGGUGGUUUAAUUAAUUCUGUUGAAUUUUGUAAAGUUCAUACUAAAAAAAAAAAAAGUUCAAUAAGACUUGUAUUUUUUAGAAGUGAAUUUGCUAAACCUUUUAAAAAUAUUUUAGUGGGUUCACUAUGGUAUAAGAUUUAUUUUGUGAUCAGUUGUUUUCUCCUUCAUAAUGUUGCAAGUUUGAAAUUAAUACGCCAUUGAAAUCAAUGAUGGAACCAAUGGGGGGCUAAUGUGGGCCAUAGCUCCUUCUCUCUAAGUUUUAAAAGUUUUAAUUCAUAUUGUGUAAAUAUUUGUAUAAAAUAAAGUUAACCCUUCAAAUUUUUUACAAUUUUAAUUUAUAUUAUGGGAAUAUAUAUAUGUAUCUAUGUGUGUGUGUGUGUGUGAAUUAACUAUCCUUGAAUUAAUUUUUUCUUAAAAAUGUUAUUUAUGUUUUACAUCUCUUUAUAAUUAAUAUUAAAAUUUGAUAUUUUUAGAUGUCAUAUAUUUAAAUAGAUCAAAAUUAUUUUGAACAUAACAUAUAAAAAUAAUUAUGUUAGGAAAAAUUUUAACCCCUUUAGAAAAAAAAAUCUUGGUUUCGUCACUGAUUGAAAUACUUGUAAGUGGGAUUCAUCCAUGAUAAGAGUAUGAUACAUAAUCUUUUUUUUAACUUUAUUUAAUUUGUGUGAUGACAAAUGAAAAUAGGUAAAAUCGGUUUGUGAUCAUCAAUUUUGUGAAUGAUUAUGAGAGUAAAAUACAUUAUGACAAUAAGAUAUGUAGAAUUGUGAAAAUUGUAAUUUAAACAAACUCCUAAAUUUUGGAUAUGUGACUUUCGUAGUUGCAAGUUUCUUAAAUUAGCGGUUAGUUAUUGCUAUCAGGAAACAAAUCUAUUCCUUUAUGCGGGGUGAUAAGUGUUAGUAGUAAAUGUGAGAAGUGAAUUGGAAUUUGCAGAUAUUAUUUUGCAGGAGUGGUCAUUAUCUGUUAGUUAAAAUUAAGUUUUAAUUUUGUGGAUUAAUGGGUUAUGUAAAUUGAAGAGUGAAAAGGGAUAAGGAGAAGAUAAGAGUUAUUGAAUUAAAAUAAAUCUAAAAUUAUAGUAAAAAAAGUUUUAGAUUUCUAACGCUUGUGGAAACUCCUCGUUAAAAACCUGCUCUCUAAUACAUUUAUGUGAUGACAAAUGCAAAUGGGUAAAAUGAGUUAGUGAUCAUCAGUUUUGUGAAUGAUUAUGAGAGUAAAAUACAUUAUGACAAUAAAAUAUGUAGAAUUGUGAAAAUUGUAAUUCAAAUAUACUCCUAAAUUAUGGAUAUAUGACUUUCAUAGUUGCGAGUUUUUUAAAUUAAUGGUUAAUUAUUGUGAGUUUUUUUUAAAAUACGUAGAAUUGUGAAAAUUGUAAUUCAAACAGACUCCUAAAUUUUGGAUAUAUGACUUUCGUAGUUGCGAGUUUUUUAAAUUAACAGUUAAUUAUUGCUAUCAGUAAUAUAGUAAGUGUGAGUAUUAUUAUUAGUGAUAUGAUAAGUGUCGUUAGUAAAUGUGAGACGUGAAUUGAAAUUUGCAGAUAUCAUUUUGCAUGGGUGGUUAUUAUCUGUUUGUUAAAAUUUAGGAAUUUUAAUUUUAUGGGUUAGUGAGUCACGUAAAUUGAAGAGUGGAAAGGGAUAAGGAGAAAAUAAGGGUUAUUAAAUUCAAAUAAAUCUAAAAUUAUAAAAAGAGAUUCAGAUUUCUGACACUCGUGGAAGCGUCUGGUCAAAAACCUGCUAUCUAAUAUAUAUAGGUAUAGAUUGUAGGUGAAAGGUCAGAAUAUGAAUUAACAAAAUGAGGAUAAAGUUCUUAAUUUGCGUAGGUAGUUCUUGAUAACCGCAACAAUGUUUCUUCCUGUUCUUUAUCAUCAGAGUCAUUUAUUAAAAAAAAAAAAAGGGAUUUUGCCCCCACCAAUAAUCAAAGUUCAUGUGAAUUAAAGAGUUGCUUUAGUAAGGGGAUUUAUUCAAGAAUUAACGAUAUAUUUUUACACAGUUUUGAAAACCUAUGUAUUUAACAAAUUCCUUUUUACCAAGCCCAGUAAUUUCAGACGUGCCAAGGACAGGAGAAAAGCCUGGAGUAGUGAAAUAAGACCCAUUUUUCUAAUUUUACCUUAGAUUGAUAAGCUCCUCGACUCGAAUAGUAGCGGACUUAUGGAAUUGGAAUUUGAAUUCCUACCUCCAACUAAAGAAUUCAAAGCUCAAAAUUGGGACAGGUAGAAUUGCAAUUCAGCUCUAAAUCCACAAACCAAUUCGCUACCCAAACAACAGAAUUGGAAUUGGGAAGCACCAAACACACCGUAAGGGAAAAAUUGCAUGUAAUUAAGUGAUAGUUGAUGAUGUGACCGCCAAUUAACCUUUCAAGGUACUAAACAAUUCGCAACAGAAUUGAACCUUAAAAAAGGCUCCUUGAAAAAAAAACCUUAAAAAAGGCUUUAACAAAGAGAACAUACAGAUCAAACAAUAAACUCUCAAGUUUACCAAAAACAAAGGACAAAUUGACUGCAUAGGUAAAUGACAGGUUGUCGACACUUGUGCAAUAAUAAAAAUGAACCUAGUUGUCAAUUAAAGUAGUUGUAACCCAAUUCUAAGUACUGGAGUAGGGACUUUGGAUGUAUAAUAAGUUAUUUGAUUCACCCUGUUUCAGAAGAAUUUACUUAAUCCGAUAUACCAGAAUGAGAUUGCUUAUUCACAAAAAAUUAUUGAUUUGUAUAAAGGACAAGUAAGGUCGUCUCCUCAGGGAUUGAAGAUAUUUGUCUCUUUUGCAAUUCAAGUAACAAGAGGGGUGCUUUUGUAUAAAUGGUGACAAUUAAAACAGUUCAAAUAGGAACAAAUAGCUAACUAAAAAUUAAAUGACAAUUUACUAAAAUCAGAUUAAUAAUAACUAAAGAUCUAGCUAAGAAAUAACUUCGGCAACAGUUCAUCUAAUUGAUCAUCAAUGCAAAGGUAAUUCCAAUUAUUUACUAAUAAAUAGGUUAUAAAUGCCAAACACAUGAUAACAGUCAACCCCUCCUUACUGUGUCGGUGAUUAAGGUACGUCCGUUAAUCACUGCUCUAAUUGAGAAAUAAUUUUAGGUACGCCCGAAAGAUUUAAUUCCCCAAUUACCUUACGUAUUAGAGGAGGACUAUUCUAACCAAACAAUACACUACCAGGGUUAUUUUAGAUUAGCCUGCGCAUUUCCCUAACAUAAAUCCAAUCAUGCCAGUUGUCACUAUUUUAUAGCAAUUAAACAAUUACGAAUUUAAUGCUCCAAUUGACAAUAGGUUACUAAAUCAAUUCAUUAUCCAGAUCCAAAAUAAUCAAUUAAUUAAACAACCAUAAGCACUGCAAUCAGAGAAUAUACAAAUACCAAUAAAUAAGAGGAAUAAAUAAAAUUAAUUCGAUCUCAUAAUUUUUAGACGAACCAAAACCUCCGUAGUUCUUUGGCUAGAAAAAGAGAUUUAGUUCAUCUCUAUGGAGAAAAUCCCACGCGAAAAUUCAGAAGUCAUUAUCGAAGACAUUCCUCCAAAAUUCGAUAAAGUAAAUCGGUUCAAUGAAUAGUAAAUAAAAAAUCCACUAAGCCAAAGAAUGACCAUUUCUUUCUACUUUCCUCUAACAUACGAUGAAUAGACCCCAUAAAAAAGACGAAAAAGAAAAAGUCAAGAGAAAACCUAAAGUAGUACAAAAUUCUUUGCUCUUUUCCUUACUAAAAUCCUAUAUAUUCUCUAUUUCCUAUUCGACUACCAAUAAGGAGUACAAGGAAGACUCCUAGUCUCCAUUGAUUUCCUCCGCAGUUGGCUCUCCAAAAGCUACCAAAAAGAUAGGAUUCCUAAUCCCAAUUUGACUCCUUUCGUUGCACUUCCAAACGAGAGUCGGUGUUGCGCGCCUUUCCCGAACCUUCUGGACAUGUUAAGACCUGGGUUGACGUGACCAUGCCAAGCAGUAUUUGCAGUACGAUAUUCGCACUUUUUUACCACAUUUUGGUCCAACUCCCUGCGAUAAGCGCAAAUGCCAAAAGUGAGUGGAAUCUGAUAAUUAAUCCACAUUUGGUAAGGUAAUAGAGAAAAUUAAUUCUAAAAUAAAUGAUCAAAUUGCACCCCAUCAAUUUCUCCCACACCUAAACCAUACUUGUUCUCAAGUAUGAGAACAGCAAACAAAUACCAAUUUCUGACAAUGACGAUUACUCCAAUUACCUUAUUGCCAAGAUAUCGAGAAAAACACCUAUCAAGUAUGAAUGGUCAAGAUCCAAGAAACAUCAUCCCGAUUAGCGUCUAAACCGCAGAUUCCCCCAAUUUAUGGCUAACUAUUCUAAGAAAAAGGAAUGGUCUAUCAACAUUUAUCAGCAAAUUGUCUAACUAUUAACCAAAAUCUCAACAUAAACCCAUAGAUCAGAAGGCUAACUUUAGACGCACAUUUACACAACUUUCACAUUUCUUGUUGUUUUUAUGAUCUUUUUCUUUUUUUGCUUUUUUUCUUUUUUUUUUUUGGAGUAAUAAUAGGCUUAGUUUCUAGCCACUAGAGCCUUUUGAUGCGAACUCCAAUAUUUGUUAGAUGAAGGAGUCCGAUUACUCAGCUCCUAUCGCUACAUGACCACGUAAUCAUAGAAAUUGCUAUUUUUUGACACGAGAAUCGAUACUUUUCAUGAAGAUCCCCGGUUAUUCAGCAGUAACCGCUAGCGGAGUACAACCAACUUUAAUUCUCAAUCAGGCAACAAAAUAACUCAAAAUAACACAAAAAUAGCAGCAGCUAGCCUUAUUUUUUCAAACAUGGAGAACUAAAGUUAAUAAUUAGACCAAUUCAUAUGAAAAUACCAACAGUUAUUCCCUACGCCUAGAAAAGUUAACCAAAAAUUAUAAGAGUCACACAAUCAUCGAUAUUCAUCAAAGAGAUAUUUUUGGACUUAACCAAAUUAAUUUGAUAUACUUUUAUUACUAAAACUUGACAAUAGUGAAAUUAGAGUCAACAACCAACAUCGAACCUUGGCAGUCAUAGGAGAGCUGAUCACUAAUAAAAGUCAAAAGAAAAUAAGCGAAAAAUAGAAAAAUAAGGGAAAAACAUCUAAAAACUAAAAACUAGAAAUACUAGCCAUACCACAGCUGUCCCCCUCCCCCACACCUAAAUCCGAUAUUGUCCCCAAUGAAGGUAAUAGAGCAAUUAAAGCGAAGAGGACAACGGAACUUUCCUCUCAAGUGGCUAAGGGAUAGACGGGAACGGUGGAGUGAACCCGAUGUGGUGGAAGUACGCGGCCAGAUUCUGAGACAUCUAAGCCACUUGGUUGGCGAUGUUCAUCACUCUUUCAUCCACAUGGUGAACCUAUGCACGCAAGUGGCGCCACUCAGCAUUUGAGGCCAUCGACGGAUAAGGUGCAGAAGAAGAAGGGCUGGCAGUGUCAUCGGCCGAUCCAAGAGCUGAAGAAAACCCUGCUCGUGUCGAAGGGCGUCGACCUAGAGCCCGAAUGAGUCCUGGAAGUAUAAACUGGAACAUAUCGUUAACCCGCUCUAGAACUCCCAUUUUCUAGAGACAGUCUGCAUCCAGAAGCUCCAUGUCGAAAGCCAGAUGGAGAUCGUGAUUCUGCAAAUUAAGAACCCUCAACUAGAUUGCCAGGUGCGUGAUAUACGAUCCGAGUAUUAAGGAUUUGUUUUUCUUGGCUAAAAUGGCCUUAAAUUGUGAUGCCAGCCAACACCCCAAAUUUAUCUUGAUAUUAUUUUUCAUACACCACAGAAAGAAGAACUCGGGUCGAGAAAGUACACCGGAACUGUUUUUGGGACCCGAGUAGCUGUAGGCCAAGAAUCACUGAAUAUACUGGGUACUGGGAUCCUUAAGAUAAGAACUUCUAGAUCUAGAAGGGUCAUAGCGGUCUCUGUCGACAGACAUAUCCCUCCAAAUAUCGGGGUAGUGAGAGAAAAAUGGUUCUACAUAGUCACAUGCACUCUCAGCGUAUUCCAUAGUCUCAACAUACUUUCGAAUAAUGAAUCCAAAGGCCAAAUUAAAUUGAGUGAUAGAGAAAUUGUACUCUUGACCCAUAAGGCGGAAGUGAAUCAUAUUUGGGGUAUCUACAGUAUACCCCGUAAGCAACUCAAACUCAAAAGUGGAGUAAAACUCUCUAACAAGUUCGAUAAAGACGGGACAGAAAAUAUCAAUAUAGGGGCGCCACCCAAUGGCAGUAAACAUCCGUUCAACCUCUUCCCUAAUACCCAGUGCAUUCAUGACAAUUCUCUCAUAAUAUUUGCAGGGAAUGAUACGCCGCUCACAAACCUUAACAUAUCUUUGUUGAUCAGCAGCCCUAGUGAAAUUUAAAUGCCCCCCAAAGUGAGCGGUGUAGCCACAUGAACACCCCUACCCCUACUCCUACCUAGGCGAGUUUGGACACCUAAAGAGAACGGUUGAUUGGUAGGUUCAUUCAUUGGAAUGGUGGGUUGGGGUGGAGUAGGCUGAGGUUGAGAGGUUCUAGACCUAAAAGAGGAUUUAGGCCUCACCAUUGUCCUUAGCAGUUAAUCCAACCAUCAAGAGAUAAAAUUUCCAACAAAUAUAGGAAUAAGCAAAUGCAAAUCAAUAGGUACUUGUGUUCCCCAAUUCAAUAGUCAAAUGCAAAAUUUUUCCACUCAAAUGCUCAACAAAUUCCCCUAAUGAAUUAAUACUCAAUGAAUAAACAGAUUACUGGCAACAUUCACUGCAAUGAAAUCAACCAACAAUACCGCAAUCAACCCAAUAGGCACUGUUGUCUCUCAAUUGAACCAUUAAAUGCAACCACAAUAUCAGUAAAUCCCCAGACAGUGCAACUCAAUUCAGCCAACUAGUAAUGUUGUCACAACAUCCACAAUGGAGUUCAAAAAUUAAUCCCAACAAUCGAUGCUCCAAUCAAUCAGUGUAAGGGGAAGAAUUGAAGGGCACCUCUACACCGCUGAGUAUAUGAAGUGAUGUGCGACGAGGGGAGUAGUGGGUGGUCUGAGAGACGCUGCGGUGGCAGUAACUGUGGCGGUGGCAGUAACUGUGGCAGUGACAGCGCGCAAGUGAAGAGGGAAAUGAGCGGCAGACGGUGGAGAGUUCAGCAGGGGAGAGAGAAAGUGAGGGGGCGCGCGGCUCUUGGACUGCAUGGCGGUGGAGAGUUCGCGCGUUGGUAGCGAAGUGGCAGCGGCGCUGCGAGGUUGGCGACGACUUGGGCUGGCGGCGUCGAGGAGAGAGAAAGACAUAGUGACGUGCGGUUGACGUGCGUUGAU